GAGGGUACAGCUCAGUGGUAGAGCACAUGUUUAGCAUGCACGAGGUCCUGAGCUCAAUCCCCAGUACCUCCA
rnacentral:tRNA from 1 species